rnacentral:lncRNA from 1 species
AUAGACUUCGACUUGAUUAAAUAUGCUUGCAACUAAAGGAUGUGCGGAUAAGAAUUAAGCAAGCAAUUUAUCUAAGUAAGUAAGUGUGUUAAUUAGACAAUAACUAGAGGCAUUACAAACACAGAGGACAUAUAGUGGUUCGGUGCACCCCAGCACCUACAUCCACUCCCCAAGACCUCUUGGAAAUUUUACUAUAAUCCUACCGAUUACAGCCGGUUGUUUUACAAGCUCACAACCCAACUUGUUGUUUUACGAGCGCACAACGAACUCGGUCGGUUUUCCCAGGCUCACCGACUAGAACCAACCCCGAUUGUUUUCCCGGGCUCACAAUCAAACCCUUACACGUUGGUUUUACCCUCGGCUCACCAACAAACCUAAACCCCGUUGGUUUUCCCUUUUGCUCACCAACAAACCUUAAUCCCGUUGGUUUUUCCUUUGGUUCACCAACAAACCUUACACCGUUGGUUUUCCCUUUGGCUCACCAACAAACCUUUAACCCCUUGAUUCAAUCCCUUGAUUAAAUCAAGUUACAAGAUAUUAAAACAAAGAAUAAAAACAAAUCAAAGCUUCUUAAACAAGCAGAUAUGACAAUAUAAACAAAUAGAGUAAAGAGAAGCCCUCAAACGAGUUUUGAAGAUGGAGAAGCUCGGCUUCUUCUUUACUUGAUCCUCCUCUGAUUUGGCAUGAAGUAGAGGAUCCCCGAGGCAGCACACGGAUGGAGAGGAAGCUUUCGGAUUCACUUGGAUGCUCUUCUUCUCUCUAUUU